CCCCCCAUGGCCGUGGAGAGCCCGAGUGUCCCCCCCGCCGCCGCCGCCUCCCCCCCCAGCCCGCACUCCGCCCCCCCAUCUCCGUCCUGCCACCACCACGACAGCGGCAGCUGCGGCCUCCCCCGGCCGCCGCCACAACUCCACCACCACGGCCCGGACGAAAGGGAGGAUGGGGAGCUGGAAGAAGGCGAGCUGGAGGACGAUGGGGGAGAGGAGCCCCAGAAUGCAUCUGAGUCCCAUGAGAGGGGCCGGAAAGAGAAGGGAGAGAAGCACAGAAGUGACUCGGAUGAAGAAAAGGCUCAUCGGCGGAUGAAGCGCAAGAGGAGGAAAGAGAGAGAGCGAGAGAAAGAGAAAAGAAGAGCAAAAAAGAAAAGGAAAUCCAAGCACAAACGCCAUGCAUCUUCCAGUGAAGACUUCUCUGACUAUAGCGAGGACUCUGAUUUCAGCCCCAGUGAGAAGGGGCACAGAAAGUACCGGGAAUACAGCCCUCCUUACCCUCUUUCUCACCAGCAGUAUCAGUCCUCUCACAGUGCCCCCUUGCCAAAGAAGAGCUACUCCAAAAUGGAGAGCAAGAAUUACAGCAUGUAUGAGGAUUACGAGAAUGAGGCCUAUGGCGAAUACGAGGGGGAUGAAGAUGAAGACAUGGGGAAAGAAGAGUAUGACGACUUCACAAAAGAGCUGAACCAGUACCGGAGAGCUAAGGAGGGGACACAUCGGGGACGAGGCAGUCGAGGCCGAGGCCGAGGAUACCGAGGGCGUGGAGGCAGAGGUGGAAUGAGAGGGCGAGGCAUGGGCCGAGGAGGCCGGGGGAGAGGGAGAGGAGAACAUCCGGGAGAGGAGGAGGAGAUGUAUGAGGAAGAAAUGGAAUAUGGUGACAAUGAAGAGCCAAUGGGUGACGAGGAGUACGACGACUAUUCGAAAGAGCUCAACCAGUACCGGAGGAGCAAAGAGGGCAGAGGGCGAGGUUUAAAUCGGGGGCGUGGCCGUGGCCCCAGAGGGAGAGGGAGCAAGGGGAUGGGCAGGGGAAGAGGAAGAGGUGGGAGCAGAAGUGGAAUGGGGAAAGGUGGCGGAAUGAACGACGAUGACGAUUACUACGAUGAAGACAUGGGGGAUGGAGGAGGUGGUGGAAAUUACAGGCGGAAUGACCAUGAUAAACCCCACCAGCAGUCGGAUAAAAAAGGAAAAGUUAUCUGCAAAUACUUUGUGGAAGGCAGGUGUACCUGGGGGGAACAUUGCAAUUUCAGCCAUGACAUCGAGCUACCAAAGAAGCGGGAACUGUGCAAGUUUUACAUCACGGGUUACUGUGCGAGGGCGGAGAAUUGCCCUUACAUGCAUGGAGACUUUCCUUGUAAACUGUUCCACACCACUGGGAACUGUAUCAAUGGGGACGACUGCAUGUUUUCCCAUGAGCCGCUCACAGACGAAACACGGGAGCUGCUGGACAAGAUGCUGGCUGAUGAUGCAGAAGCAGGUGCAGAAGAUGAGAAGGAAGUUGAAGAGCUAAAGAAACAGGGCAUCAAUCCAUUACCGAAACCUCCACCUGGAGUGGGCCUGCUGCCCACACCCCCUCGUCCUCCUGGACCGCCAGCUCCAACUUCUCCCAACGGGAGGCCAAUUCCUGGAGGACCACCGCCUCCUCCACCACCCCCCCUUCCACCACCAGGGCCACCACAGCUGCCACCACCACCGCAUGAGCCUCUCUCACCACAGCAGCUUCAGCAGCAGCAGGACAUGUAUAAGAAGAUCCCAUCUCUGUUUGAGAUUGUGGUACGGCCCACUGGGCAGCUGGCGGAGAAACUAGGCGUGCGGCACCCAGUUCCACCACCUCCCCGCUUCCCUGGGCCUGGUGGACCACCUGGGCCUAUGCCAGGACCCAUGCACCCGGAUAUGCAUCCCGACAUGCACCCGGAUAUGCAUCCCGACAUGCACCCGGAUAUGCACCCCGACAUGCACCCGGAUAUGCAUCUGGACAUGCACCCGGACAUGCACCCCGACAUGCACCCGGACAUGCACCCCGACAUGCACCCGGACAUGCCUAUGGGCCCUGGGAUGAAUCCUGGGCCUCCAAUGGGUCCCAGGCCCCCAAUGAUGCCAUAUGGCCCAGAUGAUUCUCCACACUCCGGAAUGAUGCCUCCUGGCCCACCUGCACAAAGCUUCUAUGAUAAUUUCUACCAACAGCAAGAGGGCCUGGAGAUGGACUCUGGCUUGAUGGGUGACCCAGAGGACUAUGGGAAUUACGAGGAUAUGGAUGAGCCUCUGGGAGAGCAUCUUUUCCCUGACCAGUCCUUGGAACCCGACUCCUUGUGUGAAGGAGGGGCUCCAGGGUUACACAAACCAUCAGCCAACAUCCCUGACUUCCUGCCAUCAGCCCCGAGAGCCCUGUACCUGAGGAUCCAGCAAAAGCAGCAGGAAGAGGAGGAGAGGGCUCGGAGACUGGCCGAGAGCAGUAAGCAGGAGCGGGAGAAUGAGGAAGGUGAUCCUGGCAACUGGUAUUCCAGUGAUGAGGAUGACGGUGGAAGUAGCGUCACUUCCAUACUGAAAACGCUAAGGCAGCAAAGUUCAAGCAGGCCUCACGCCCAGGCAUCCCAUGGAGAAAUCAGUGGCGGUAUCGGCCCAUCCUCAGGUGUGAGUGACCCUCGCCUGCAGAAGGCCCAGCCAGCAGGGAACAGUCGGCCUGCGGAUCCACGUGUGCUGCGGGAUCCCAGGCUGUCUCGAAAUGCCGAUACUUGUGGCCCAUCUAGCACUGGGGAGGCAGGGCCCACUGACCCGAGACUAGCACGACACAUUCCCACGCCUGCCCUGAAACCGGAUGCUCCUCAUUCCAGCACUGCUGCCAGUCAGAAGGCUGCCUUGGUUCCUGAGGAGGAGGAAGGGGAAAGAGCACUAAGGGACAAACCGGUCAAUAUCCCCUUAGAGGCACUGCCAGCCCACGCUCUGCGGGACCCCAGGUCUCAACUGCAGCAGUUCAGUCACAUAAAGAAAGACGUGAUCCUGAACAAGCCGAACUUUGCCCGAAUGGUCCUGUGGAGCCCCGAGGAUCUGAUUCCACUGCCUGUCCCAAAGCAAGAAUUUGUUCCUGUCCCAGCUGCUCUCCAGACAUUACCUGCCCUUGACCCACGACUCAACAGGCCCCAAAAUGCAGGCCUUUCUGACCCCAGACAACGAGGAGCAGCAGCCCAAGCAGAGCCUGCCACCGGUUCUGGCACCAACAUCCCUGACUUCGAGCUGUUGUCAAGAAUAUUAAAGACUGUGAAUGCGUCUGGCAGUCCAGGGCCUGGGCAGAGCGAUAAACCGAGUGACCCUCGGAUGCGCAAAGCAUCAGCCGAUCCCAGGUUACAGAAACCAGCAGAGCCAGCAGCCGCCAGAGCUGCUAAACCUGCGGAGCCAGCUCAGCCAACCGCUGCUACCACGCCCAGCAGCGAGACAGCUCCCACCAUUGCUCCCUACGACCCCAGGCUGCUGUCAGCUGGCGGACUAAGCAAAGGCAGUAGCCAAAGCAGUGUGCUCAGUGGGAUUAGCCUGUAUGACCCCAGGACUCCCAGUUCAGGUGGCAAAGCCGCAGAGUCUCCCAGCGAAGGGACUGCAUCGUUGAAAGGCCCAGAGGCCAGCAAGACCGCUAACAAGGCCAAGGAGCCUCUGUUUGUGCGCAGGUCUGCGCUGGAUCAGCCCGAGGCCGAGAAGCCAAGCGCUGAGCUUGCAACAGACAGAUACAAUAGUUAUAACAGGCCGCGUCCCAAGGCCUCCUCCACCGCCCCCGCCACCUCCUCCACACCUGCCCAGGAGACUGCACCUCAGCCAGGGGUUCAUAACCUCCCUGUGCCCUCCGUCUAUGGCAUGGUGAAGCAGACCACAAAGCCUGGGUCAGGCAGCCCCUUUGCAGGGAACAGUCCUGCCCAGGACAGUGAGCAGCAGGAUGCUGGGUCUCUGAAAGAUGUUUUUAAGGGCUUUGAUCCCACAGCUUCACCAUUCUGCCAGUAGUAUUAAAGGACUGACCUUGCGUCCAUGUAUUGAAGAACAGCGCGCAGUGUUGCCUCUGGUUACUCGAUGUCCAGGUGUGUCCUAUCCCCUACUGCUUGGUAUUUCGAUAGUGGUAUCGCUGUGGAGCUAACUGGAUUCCGCCGUGUGUCACGUGAAUACUGGUAGUACCUCACACUCACAAGUAUUUGGCUGGCAAAGCCUGUAGCAAACAUGCUCACAAGUAUUGGAAGGUGAAGACAUUUUAUGCAAAGUGUCUUUAAAGCAUAAACUGCACCAAGGAAAAGCUAAAAUGCCUGCACCCUUUUAGCCAUAUGCUGAGACAUGGAUCUGUACAAUGUACAUGACCAAAAUGCAGUAUCAAUUCCUGUGAAAUAAUGGAAACAAAGUUAAAUAUUUUAAACACAGUUUUAUAAACAUGGCUGAGCGAGAUGUGUUCUUCUUUACACUUUCAGCCAGGUCAGUGUCUGUGGUACUAUCAGGGAAAUGUCUAUGGAGUGUGAACUGAGUAUUGCGCUUUCUUCUGACUGAGGCACAAGCCAGAACUUUUGUCAGAGACCCCAAAUAUUUGGUGAUGGUGAGUGUUUUAAAGGCACAGUGUGCGCGUCGUAACUCUCCUUCCCCAGAGCCUCGCACCAGGGAGUGCUACACCAGCUUAGAGGGGGAUCUGGUGCCAGGGUAUCCCAGCUGACCCACCUUCACCAGAAGAGAGGUUCCUGUUUUAUUGCAGAAUAUAUCCCAAGGGGCUGUACCUCUCUGCCUUGAGAAUUCAUCCAUUGCAUCAUGUCACAGUGGCUCGUCAUCGGGCUGGUGUUUGCAUGAGGAGCAGUGUGAGAGGAAAAACAUUUCUCAGUACGCUGGCUGCCGUCAUCAAAUCUGGUUUAGGAUGAAUUGUCCCAACAGUGGGACAGCUGCUUAAAACCCCAUUCAGUUGUGCUGUAAGCGUUAUAAUUUGUUUUGAAAAAGUUCUACAGCUAAUGGUGCAUGUGAGAUUAGUAUUAAUAAUGCCAAAAUAACUCUCUUCAAUUACAAAAACCCAGUCUGGACUCUGAAGUUUUGUUAUGUUUGUUUGGUGUUAAUUACUUGUCGUCUUCCCUUUGGACGCUAUUUGUUUUACUUCUUCCUGCACCCCGCUUUAAUUUGAGGCAAAAGGUUAUAUCAAACUUACUCGAAACAAUGUCUUUCAACUCAGCUGGAGUCCAGAAAACUCAGAUGCCAAUGGAUUGUGCUGAUCUCUUCGAUAAGUGUCCAAUGGAGAUCGAAUCUAUUCGAAUUUCUGCUUGCAUCUCUCCCUGAAAUUGUGUGCUAGUUUUCAGUGAAUCAGCCUGGCCUGUGUGUGUAGUAGUUGGCGCACUGCUGAAGUGGUUCACCUCAUGCCUUCUCUUGGUGUAGCCUCAGCUCUCGACCUGCAGUGAAGUGGGACAUACGAACUCCUGGCUUUGGAGUUUGGCUGGUAUCACUAACAAAAAAGAGAGAAGUGAAAUAAAUCAUUUGUGUCGUGUUCCGCUAUGUGAGAUUGCGUUUAGGGAGAGGGAUGUAAAAUCAGUGGCAUUUGUACCAUAACCCUAAACAUUUGUAACAGAAAUAAAAAAACCAGAUUGAACUCUGUCCAGAAUAUGAAAUGUGAUGAUGCUCUACUUUGGAAUAGAUUCACCAUAACAUAAAACAUCACCAGUCUUUAAUCCAUUAAUAUUUUUCCAUCUGCCAGAGCUUUAAGAGAAAAAUAAUAAUGCUCUAACUGAGAUUGUAAUAAACUGUAAAUACUAUUUCAGAAUUGAAGUUGUUGAUGCAAAUAUGUAUAUACUGUAUUGGUAUUUUUACAAUGACUGUUUCAUUGCAUGGCUUUGUGGUUUUUUCCUUUUUUUAUUGCACAUUUGUCUUCCAAAAAUGUCAUCUAUAUUUCUCCUGUGAGCUCUUUAAUCCUCUAUCAUUGUAUUACUGCCAUUAAAGGAUGCAGUUAUUUUAAA